UUAUGUUACCAGCUCUAAAACUCACGAAAAGCGAACCCAUGUGUAUACUCUGAAUGUGUGUGUUUUUUCUUUUUAAUUUUUGUGAGGUCUAACUUUCAGCAGGAAGGCCAUGACACUUCCAGUGACAAAUAAUUUCGCGAUUCCAGCUUUGCAGAGCGUGCUGGGAGACUGUUGCCCGCGGCGGUUGAUGGCGUCACGCCAGGAUCAGUUCGCGGGGAACCGACACCAACAUGGUGAGGAGGAUUUAACCCUGUGUUCGUGAAUGACUCUUUCACCACUCACCAGAAUGGCUUCCUCCCGCCAUCUUGAUCCCCGGUCUCACCCGCGCUUUUCAUAUAGUCCAUCAUCGUCCUGGUCUGUGCUAUCCUCUGGGUGCACAGUCCGAUAUUGGGUGCUAGCAGAUUCUCUUCUCUGUCUGUUUAAUGUCCUGUCUAUGACUCCCAACCUACUGUCUAUCGGCGUCUACCUCAUGUCGACCCACUCGCGGACAAUGUGACAGAUGGCGCCGCUUGUUGAUGAAGCAACUGACUUAGUGAUGAGGCCUCGGAUGCACUUGGCUGAAGAAAAAAAAAACCCCUCAACUAUACGCUCCUCUUUGCGCCCUGGAAACAAUAAUAAAAUUGGACGAAAGCUGUCAGAUGGGCUGGAAGUCAAAACUGAUCCACGCCCUGCAAACGGGAAGGAAGAAGGGUAGGGGCACCGCACCCUGCCUUACCUCCCUUGUCAGUGAUGAUGAUUGAAAAUGUCUCUCUCCGCGUGUUCAGCUUAGCGGGAGAUGUAUGUUCAUGGGGCAUCGGAGGCUGAUGGAGGAAAGAAGGAAGCGGGAGAGAUGAGGUAGAACGGGGUAAAAUUGUAAUCUUGGAGAUGACUGACACACCCACGGUCAGCCAGUGCUUUUAAUUUUUAUAGGCAGGUCAGCUGGUGAACGACAGGAGCCCUGAGAGGCAGUCCCCUUGCAUCCAAAGGCUAGAUCCUCCAUGGAAUGAUGGAUAAGUGGUCAACCACUCGGCUGAAGUUCGACUGACUGAAACGACCGCUCGAACGAACCCCAGCAUGUUUCCAUGAAACAUGUUACAGUGAUCGCGAUGCAUUACAAUGUAAUGAAGCUGCGUUACUGUAACAGUGUAUCGUGAAUCAGAGUAACUCUAGCUAGUCAUGUUACAAUGAGAGUUGUCUGUGGUUUGUGACAUUUCAACCUUACUGUGGUGUGUUAUGUUACAGUGACAUAAAUGGUUGUCGGUAGUGAUCUUGAAAUAAAAAUGUUACAACGUGGUUAGAGCAUUGAAUGGUAAAGAAUGUCAGGUUAUCUGUAGUUCGUGACAUUACAAUGUAACGAGAGCUGCCUGUACCUCGUCACGUGACAGUGUGACGACAGUAUAGUUGCAUAAAGUUUGUCACUGGUUCUGUGGGCAUCGGCAAACGACAGGCAAGAUGACUACUUAGACGAGCCUGGUGAAGGUUUUCUCGAGAGUCUGUCGAUUGCCAGACUGUUCUUGACCUCUGGAUCAGCAUCCAGUUAACGGUCACGUGGUUGAGACUUGAUGACAACAUUUCCCUCAACAGCAAAAUUUCACCACAAAUGUCUGACUUGCUGAACUUGGCGCUGCGUUGAUACUAGCUUUCUGGUGUAAACCGACUGACACCAGGCCUGGUGACCUUUGACAUUGCGCUCAACCCGCAGCUAUUUACCCGAGAGACACGUGGGUGUGGCGCACACACACAUACACAGAGCAGGUCCUUCAUUGGGCAGAAAGGAAUCACGAAUGGAGGAGCCUGGCUGCCAAGCUGUGCACGGAGGUGACACGUUCCAUCCAGCAUUUCAGGACGUGGAUGGUCGUAAACGUCACGCCACCCGACACGAACACCCGGGCACCUGAGACACUGGGCGCCUGGGAUCGUACAGACGGGGUGUACAGUCCAUUGUUGUCAGUGACUGCGGUUCUCACCAGGUGACAUUCCUAACAAACUUACUGCUGGAAUCUGCUGAACAGCUGCAGUCGUCUCCCAGACGAGUGUUGUGAUGGAGCUGCCGGGGUCAGGAAUUGAGGAAUGGAGGUGAUGCCGAGGUCAGCAGCCGAGAGGAGUGGCGCGAGGUCAGCUUGGACAGUGCCGAACACCUUUAUCAAAAACAGUUAUAAAAACAGCUUUUAAUUUUAAAAAGUUGAAACCAGAAUGAGAGAAAGAGUGUGUAUGAGAGAGAGAGAGAGAGAAAAUAACAGUCUGACUGAGCAUAUGUU